rnacentral:rRNA from 1 species
UGGGGAAUAUUGGACAAUGGGCGAAAGCCUGAUCCAGCCAUGCCGCGUGUGUGAAGAAGGUCUUCGGAUUGUAAAGCACUUUAAGUUGGGAGGAAGGGCAGUAAGCGAAUACCUUGCUGUUUUGACGUUACCGACAGAAUAAGCACCGGCUAACUCUGUGCCAGCAGCCGCGGUAAUACAGAGGGUGCAAGCGUUAAUCGGAAUUACUGGGCGUAAAGCGCGCGUAGGUGGUUCGUUAAGUUGAAUGUGAAAGCCCCGGGCUCAACCUGGGAACUGCAUCCAAAACUGGCGGGCUAGAGUAGGGCAGAGGGGGGUGGAAUUUCCUGUGUAGCGGUGAAAUGCGUAGAUAUAGGAAGGAACACCAGUGGCGAAGGCGACCACCUGGGCUCAUACUGACACUGAGGUGCGAAAGCGUGGGGAGCAAACAGG